UAGUCCACACCGUAAACGAUGAGAGCUAGUUGUCUGCAAGCAUGCUUGUAGGUGACGCAGCUAACGCAUUAAGCUCUCCGCCUGGGGAGUACGGUCGCAAGAAUGAAACUCAAAGGAAUUGACGGGGACCCGCACAAGCGGUGGAACACGUGGUUUAAUUCGAUGCAACGCGAAAAACCUUACCUGGCCUUGACAUGCCCAGAACCCUUUAGAGAUAGAGGGGUGCCUUCGGGAGCUGGGAUACAGAUGCUGCAUGGUUGUCGUCAGCUCGUGUCGUGAGAUGUUUGGUUAGGUCCAGCAACGAGCGCAACCCUUAUCGUAUGUUGCCACCAUAUCUUCGGAUAUGAGCACUCUUACGAGACUGCCCCGGUAACGGGGAGGAAGGUGGGGACGACGUCAAAUCAUCAUGGCUCUUACGGCCAGGGCUACACACGUGUUACAAUGGGUGCUACAAUGGGCAGCUACUUAGCGAUAAGAGGCUAAUCCCUU
rnacentral:rRNA from 1 species